rnacentral:tRNA from 1 species
GGGGGCUGCUAUGGCUCAUUGGUAGAGCAUCUGUUUGGCACACAGAAGGUUCCAGGUUCCAAUCCCCAGCGCCUCCA